CUAUGUUGGAUUCUUACCUGCUGAGCUGCAAUGGUAACUACAGGGAAGCUUACAACAGGAUUUGGGUUUGCUUCAUCAGACCCGGCAAGCGAGAAGAGCCAGAGGGAGGAGGAGGGAGAGAGAGCGAGAGAUCAAGUCUUUUAUAACCUCACCUCAAAAGUGGCUUUCCAUUACUUCUGCUGUAUUCUAUUUGUAAGUGGCACAUCUCCAAGUCUGGCCCACAGUCCAAAGGAAAGAAAAUUACACAACAGUAUGAACACCAACCAGGAGGAGGGAUCAUUAGGGGUCAUCUUAGAGUCUGCCUGCUCCAAUUCUAUUUGAGUUAUUACCAAACCAUUCAGAUGAUGGUGAUAAUACUGAAUCUAUCAAACUCAGAGAAUUGCAAAAUUAAAAUGCUAUCAUAAAUUCAAAAUGCUAUGGAAUGCAUUUUGUGGUCCCUAAAUGUAAGAAGGUUAUGGGAAACCUUCUCCUGUCAAAUAAAGGAGAAAUUGUCAGAGUGAUCAUAUUUAGGGAAAAAUAAUUCAUCUUCAACAAAAAUUAAUGUUUACUAAAAAUAAAGAUGACUUAGUAUGACUCUACAUCUUUCCCUUUAUUAUCUAAGCUUCCAUCUUUUUGAAAUCCAAACAUUUUUCUCUUGUUUUGCUAUGGCACUGAAGAUUCUAAACAGACCUACUUGCAUCUUAAAAGAGGUUUUGGAAAGAGGGAGUGAUUAUACACAAAGGAAGGUUCUCAGGCAUCUUUGAAGGUCUCUAAUUUUGGGAGAUUGCUUUCCUACAAAUCUUGGAAAAGACUGUUUACUCUGCUUAUAUAUAUCAUCAGAAUUCCUUGAGAAAUCAUCUUUAAAGGGUCCAGUUAAUCCAAUUUAAUCACCAUUGUUUCAACUAUUGCUGCAAAAAUCAUUACACCUGCAAUCUAUCAGGGUUCCAGUAGAUGGCAAAAGCAUACUAUGCACCCAAGUUGGAAUAAGUUCGAAAACUUGUAUAUUGGAGGCAUGAACAAAUGGUCUCAACCUGUUUUUAAAAUCUGCUUUUGUUGUGUUUGGGACACCAUGGAUGUAAAGGGAAUUGAAGCAUUCCAUCACAGACACCUCUGAUGCACACAGGUUUUGCUGAAAUUCUACAGAAUUAAAAAAAAAAGUUCAUAGGAAUGAGCAAUCUAAAGCAGAAUCGGGUCAUGCCUGUGUGUUAAUUUUGUAUUUAAUUCAACCAGGCUUUUUACUUUUUGAUUUGUUUUAAUAAAACAAACUGGAUAUAAUAUGGAAAUCACUUUAAUUAAAAGAAAGGCAUAUGGCACUUUGUAAUUAUAAGUCAUGAAGAUUCGUUAUUUAGAUACUGCUCUGCUAUGGGAGUUAAUUGACAGAAAGAUGUAAGACAUUUGUAUUCAAAUGGUGUUUUUCAGUUAUGUGAUACAAGUACUUUUAAAAGAGUGUACAUAUUAUUGCGCAUAUUGUAACUUAGAAAGCAUAUAUGCAUGACAAUUUCAUUGCUAUUCGUAUCUGUUUAUGUUCUUGCUAAUUUGACAAUAUUGUAAUUUAAACCAAGAACAUAAUGCAGCUAUGUGAUUGUAACCAGUGGGAGAUAAGGAUGGUUAAAUUUAUAUUCACACAGAAUAAACAUAAAUUAGCAAAAUUCA